UGACAGAGCGAGACUCUGUCUCCAAAAAAAAAAGAAGAAGUUAGAGGAGGUGGAAAUAGAGCAUGGCACUGCUAGCCCGUACAAUUCUCCGGUAUGGCCAGUCAGCCUGAUAGAGCUCGGCGGACGACAGUGGAUUAUCAAGAACUGAAUAAGGUGACACCCGCCUCUGUAUGCAGCUGUCCUCUCCAUCAUGGACUUGAUGGCCUGCUUGACAAUGAAAGUGGGACAAUGUCACUGUGUGGUGGACUUGACCAAUGCAUUCCUCUCAAAUCACAUUGCUCCAGAGAGCCAGGAACAGUUUGCCUUCAUGGGAGACUGACAAUAGACUUUCACAGUGCUGCUGCAGGGACCUAUGUGUAGCCCCGCCAUAGGUCAUGGUCUUAUUAAUAAGGGUAUGCUAACCUCCGAUUCCCUGGCACAUUUAGAAGCAGCAAUGCCCCUCUUGCUGGGACUGCAUAAUGCAGUUAAGACAGGCUUCCUGGUAGCCAAGCAGGCCAUGUAGCAAGAGCAAGCCCUACGGGUAGUUGACUGGGGUGCCCGUUUAAGCUAGAUGUGCAUGUAACCACAGAUAGUUUCAUUUAGGGCCUAUAGCAGCGCGUGGAGUGCCUGAGUAUGCCAGUAGGCUUUCGGUCCUAACUGUGGAAGGGAGCUGAGCUCUGGCAUUCCUUAAUAGAGAAGCAGUUAGUAAUAGUGGGAUGGGUGCGAUCAUGGGUAACAACCCCCUGCACUGCGACAGCACAGUCAUCCACUUUAGCAAGGUGGGGUGCCUGCUUAGAACAGGAAAGUACACUAAGUACAAGUCCCUAGUAGCAGAGUUACAAGAGGUUUUAGGGUCUGUAGUCCUAAUACAAGUUAAGGCCAUGGGGCCUAAGGAACCCCCCCAUUUCUAAUGAGAUGUAGUGUACAGAUAGUUCUGUGUACUGUGUCUGUAUACCUAGCCAGAGUGCUACUGCUGCCUGGAUUGUUGCCACGGUCUAGCCUAGUACUGACACUGUAUGGUUGGAUACCAAGUGUGGGCAAAGUAGCUAAUGGGUUGAACUCAGGGCAAUGUAGAUGAUAAUUAACCACAAGGUUAAUCUCAAUGAUAAUUAUUGAGGUGACACCUAUGGUACUCUACACCAACAGCUGGGCAGUUUAUUGAGUCUUAACCAUGUGGUUAAUUACCUGGAGGCUGCAGAAUUAUCUAGCUACCCAGCGACUCAUGUAGGGCCAGGCCAUGCAGCCAGGAAGUAUGGCCUUCUCCUACCAGGUUGGUAUGCCCCAACAGCAUCAUGGACUGGGCCCACACCUACACUGAGGUGGCUGGCCAAUCUCCAGCUGUUGGAUCUGCACCGCCCCUUCCGGCAGCACCUGCAGACCGCUUGCCCUGGUGCGUGCAUCCAGCUUCUGUGAAGAACUGGAAAUGGCUAGAGACUUGGGGUCCCAUGGACAAGGGAUCCCAUGUUGGGAUGCAACACGGCGAGCUUUGAAUAAGGGGCGUUGCAAAACUCAUGGCAAGUCUGCCCCCUGCCUCACUCCCAUAGUGUCCAUGAUGGGUGGGGCUGGCUACUGGAAGAACACAUGGUCCCCCAUUGCAGGUACCACAAUGGAGAGCGCGUACUGGGGCGAAGUCAAUGUGGGAUAGUUGCCUGCUGAGGUUUCUGCAAACAUAACAUGUGUGGAACAAGUGGCCUUAGCAAGGCCAGGCCCCCAUGGACUUUGUGCUCCUGGGAGUUUAUGGGUCUGUGGGGACACAGGAUGGCCAUAUCUGCCAGCCAGUUGGACUGGACGUUGAACCUGGGAGUGGCCUGAUGUGCCUGCCACUGUGCUUCCCACAUUGCCUAGUGGCCCGUAGAACUGGGAGGUGCUGUGUUCUCACUUUUUGUGAGCGUGGGGGCCCCCUGGUGGUUCUAUCCAUUAGCAGUAACUAUCCCUGAAGCAGGUGUCGCUACUGCGGAAAUGCCAGUUACAACCCUGCAGAGCACAUGGCUCAGGCCCUGCAUUACACCGGAGUUGUCCUCUUUCGCUGACUGAUGAGGUUAAUGAGAUCAGAAAGGUGGUGCUUCGAAACCAGGUGGCCUCAGACAGAGUCACAGCUGCCCAAGGUGGCACCCGUGUCCUUGUAGGGCCGCAAUUUUGUACAAUUUAUUCCCAACAACCACCAGGACAUAACAGCAGCUUUACAAGGAGCGUGACGGGAGAUUAAAGUGAUUAAGUGCCUGACAGAUGACCGCCUGCAGAGAUGGUGAUGUCUCUGCAUCCACCCUACAUUGCGCUUUAAUAAUCACAGGUAGCAUAACGGGAAUAUUAGUGGUAGGGUGUUGCUCCCUGUAUUAUUACUGUAACCCAUGGGUCCAACAUGCUGCCCCAUGUGCAUGGAUCCCCACUAAGGACUCCUUCAGCCUAGCGGGUGGAAUGUAAGGCCUGUGCCUCAAGCCUGUGGAUCAAGCCAAUGUGCCCAAAACUUAUAUAUAAAGCCUGUGUGUAUACAUC